UUUUUUCCGGAAAAGCUAUGUUUAUUCACCAGAAUCGGCUCUUGCCGCUAGCUAAUCACGUCUGCAGCUGCGGCUAAUCGUAAAGUGAAUAGAUGAACUUAUGAGGUGAGCUUCGUCAUGUUUAAUUCAGACAUGUGUGUGUGUGCGCUACUACUGUCUUUUAUCAGGAAGAAAAAAAGCGCAGUUGUUAGCUUUGAGAGCAUCGGACGCGCUAUAUAGGUGUAGCUAAAUUUAUCGUUAGGAUCACGUUAACCUUUGUCAGUGGGAAAAUCGACAACAAAAUUAAAAGCCAAGUCCAAUUUAGAAAGCACUGAUCUUAAAAAUACCACAAUAGCUAUAUGUAAGUUGACUGAAUUUGCAAUUUGUAUAAGUCAAUUUUAUGGGAGGAGAAACGAUUGGAUGAGCAAGAAAGUUGAGGAAGAAGAAAGAAGGCCGGUUGUUGGAUCUUAAUCUAAUGAUCCAGAAAACCGACUUACCCAAGAUAAAUUCUAAAAACACCUAGAAAAUGAGAUGUCAUGUAAGAAGUCAUAAAUAUACUUCACCGCCGGUUUAAAACUUCAGACACAAAGGAAAAAUGUAUGGAUUAUAGGCAUAUGUAGGGGGAGAAAAAUAGGAGAAAGCCCCUCAUGUUUAUUUUCCUCCAAAAUGCUAUGGAAUUUUCUUUACCUGAUUUCAUAGGAACCCGGAUGAGAACAACACAACAUGGUCGCAAUUUUUCCUAUAUGAAUUUACUCAUUCAAAGUUCUAGACGCGGCCUAAGCCAUAUAGAUGCUCUUCAGCCAAAGAACCAUAUAUGUCAUAAUACAUGGAUCGUUCUUUGAUUCUUGGGGUGAUCCAACCGUUUGGAGGUUGUAUGUUUUUACUGACAAACAUAAUCUUAAUUACUAUUAAACUGAAUUAACACUCUAAUUUAUUUCGUUUUAACCCGCAGGAAGGAACAAACUGGCAAGCCUACAAAAGCUACAAAUAAAUACUACAAGAACUCAAGCAAAGAUGAUCUAGUUUUAAGGGCAACACUGGACUCAAUUACUAGAAUUGGAUAAAAUUGCAAUCCGGUGAUGAAAAGGAACAUGAAAUUACCGGCAAUUGCACAAAUAUCACCUUGUCCACUUAUUGUUUGUAAGAGAAUGCAGCUGUGCCGCUUGCCGUCUAUAAUUUUGUCAAGGAAAGGAAAAAAUGUUGCAUCUAUAGGCCUUGUACUUUCAAGCUUUUGGCUCACUAAUGAUUUAUGUACUACAGUUCAUGUAUUGUUCAAACACGUGAGUUUUAAGUACUUUGAAUGUA